CAGCCGCCGCGGUAAUACGUAGGGUGCGAGCGUUAAUCGGAAUUACUGGGCGUAAAGCGUGCGCAGGCGGUUUUGUAAGACAGGCGUGAAAUCCCCGGGCUCAGCCUGGGAAUGGCGCUUGUGACUGCAAAGCUAGAGUGCGGCAGAGGGGGAUGGAAUUCCGCGUGUAGCAGUGAAAUGCGUAGAUAUGCGGAGGAACACCGAUGGCGAAGGCAAUCCCCUGGGCCUGCACUGACGCUCAUGCACGAAAGCGUGGGGAGCAAACAGGAUUAGAUACCCCUGUAGUCCCUGUCUCUUAUAC
rnacentral:rRNA from 1 species